rnacentral:rRNA from 1 species
UACGUAGGUGGCGAGCGUUGUCCGGAUUUACUGGGCGUAAAGAGCGCGCAGGCGGUCGUCCAAGUCGCGUGUGAAAGCCCCCGGCUCAACUGGGGAGGGUCACGCGAUACUGAUCGACUCGAAGGCAGGAGAGGGUAGUGGAAUUCCCGGUGUAGUGGUGAAAUGCGUAGAUAUCGGGAGGAACACCAGUGGCGAAGGCGACUACCUGGCCUGUUCUUGACGCUGAGGCGCGAAAGCUAGGGGAGCAAACGGG